GCAGGUGGACAUGAAAUCAUGGAAAUUCACAGACACAGCAGGUGGAAAAAAAGAAAACAACACGGGGGGCGUGAAAAAACAUUCACAGAGAUGCAGGUGGACAUGAAAUCAUGGAAAUUACAGACAACGCAGUGGGCACGAAAACACGGAAAUUCACAGACACACGCAGGUGGGCACGAAAACACGGAAAUUCAGACACGCAGGUGAGCACGAAAACACGGAAAUUCACAGACACGCAGGUGGGCACGAAAACACGGGAAUUCACAGACAUGCAGGUGGGCACGAACGCGCAGGUUUGCAUGACCAGGCUCGCAUGGGCAAGAUGUGGUGUUUCUUCCAGAUUACCAGGCAACAGAGCAG
rnacentral:antisense_RNA from 1 species